rnacentral:lncRNA from 1 species
UUUUCUGCACUUUUUCUCCAUUUUUCCAAUUUCUUCCUUUUCUGUAAAAAUAAGAUAAAAACCAUAAAUUAAGCUAAAAAAUGUGUAAAUAAGCAAUAAAAAAGAUAAUAAAAAUGUGGCUAAUUUAUGCUUGAUCAAAUACCCCCACACCUAACUUUUUGCUUGUCCUCAAGCAACAAAUAACUUAGCCAAUCAAGCCCCCCUUUUCUUUUGAGCCUAAAUACCACUUAAUCAGCCCCCCCUAGACUCCUAAUCUGAAUUAUCACAGUAUAAAGUACAUGCACUUAAGGUCAUCCCCUCCUUUCCUUGUUUCCUUUCACCUAC